rnacentral:rRNA from 1 species
GACGAACGCUGGCGGCGUGCUUAACACAUGCAAGUCGAACGAUGAAGCCGGAGCUUGCUCCGGUGGAUUAGUGGCGAACGGGUGAGUAACACGUGAGCAAUCUGCCCUUGACUCUGGGAUAACUGCGGGAAACUGUAGCUAAUACCGGAUACGACACCUUGGGGCAUCCCAGGUGGUGGAAAGAAUUUCGGUCAAGGAUGGGCUCGCGGCCUAUCAGCUAGUUGGUGAGGUAAUGGGCCACCAAGGCGACGACGGGUAGCCGGCCUGAGAGGGUGACCGGCCACACUGGAACUGAGACACGGUCCAGACUCCUACGGGAGGCAGCAGUGGGGAAUAUUGCACAAUGGGCGAAAGCCUGAUGCAGCAACGCCGCGUGAGGGAUGAAGGCCUUCGGGUUGUAAACCUCUUUUAGCAGGGAAGAAGCGAAAGUGACGGUACCUGCAGAAAAAGCACCGGCUAACUACGUGCCAGCCGCCGCCGUAA